CGUGACUGCUACACACACACACACACACACACACACACACACACACACAGAGCUUCAGCAGCCCAGCAGAUCACUAUGGUUCCUCCUGUGCAGGUCUCCCCGCUUAUUAAGACCGCAAGAUGGUCAGCCCUGCUGGUGGGAAUCAUCUAUGGGAAGCAAAGAUAUGAUUACCUGAAGCCCAUUGCUGCGGAGGAGAGGCGCGUUGAAGAGGCUGAGAAGAAGCUGAGGGAGGAGCAAGAGAGGAUCUAUAAACAGCUGGCUGAGGCGAAUUCCGACAGUAUUCUGCAGUAAAUGACCCCUUCAGUCUCUUCAGUGACACCCUGCACUACUCCAAAGUGAAGUAUAAGCAUGUAAAUGUAUUAUUUUUAGUUUUCAAUAAAAACAUGGAAAAAUA